UAAAGCGAGACAACAAUGGCUGCGAGCGCAUAAUCAAACGUGGCGACAACAAACAAACCCACAUGAAAGGCGAAAAAUAGUUCAAUAGGAAGUUCUCGGACGACAAAAAAAAAAAAAGAAACAUCUUCCUUUUCUGUGUGUGUGUGUGUGUGUGUGUCCAAUCACUCGGAAGUCAGUCCGCUUAUGUGGAGUUUGUAUAGCCAUUGAGUGGCAAAGCCAAGUGGAGAGCAACAGCGCAACCACACCAUCAAGUCGCAUUGAAAAUGUCUAUCGACUAACUGUCACACACACACACACACACACACAAUGCAGCGCUAGUGUAGCGAUUCCGCACUUACACUGGGUUGCGUUCAAACAGUUUCUUUUUACUUGCGUCCAUCUCUUUCGUCUAAAAGGAUGGCUACUAACGCCCCCCCCCCUCUUUUUUUUUCGUUGUUGUUGUUGCGGUGCAACAAUUCUUGACAAACGGAAUCCUUUUCUCCGUUGUUGUUGUUGUUGUUGUUCAGUAGCUAUGGAGAAAAAAUUCAGCUCGCGAGUCGGGGUCCUUAUGUUUCUUUCUAUUUGCCUCCACCCAUCCAUCGCAGCCAUCAACCGGGGGGGGUUUCUGACCGACACACGCGAAACCGACCGAACCCCCCACCCUAACAACAACUUUGCCUUUCCUUCUAUAGAGGCACGUGCUUUACGUCUUUUAGCUGUGUGUCUACUUUCUCCCGCUUCUCUCCCGCGGGUGAAUCAAUACCCCAAGCUGCUAUGGCGACGCAUUGCAAAUGGAGUCAUAUGGGGGAAAUCGGUUGGGGGGGUCUCUCUACUGAACACAUCAAAUAUUUAUUUCUACUUUUUUUAUAUUUUAUUUUAUUUUUUUUUUUUUUUUUAAAGAUUAAACAUAAAAGUAAACGCAGUCAGAAUAACAAAAGCAAUACGAUCGUUUUUUCUUAGUUUCUUUUUUGGGAGUUGAUCAUCGGCCUUCAAUUCGUGGACGUAUAUUUAAAUUUAAACUAAAUUUGAUCUAAAGAGAUGUGAGAUAUUCUCGUUGGAUUUUAGCACGUUGAACUAAUUCAAAGAUCGAACCGGAAAAAAAAAAAUUGGAAUCGUUUCUUCCUAACUUUUGUUUUGUUUUGUUGCAAGGAUUAAACUAGGCCAGCGGGGUGACUCUGAUGGAUCGAUGUCGUUAACGUCAAGGAUGAAGCGCAUCACCUUUUCGACAAAAAGAAAUCCAUUCGGUUUACAGCUGUAACGAGCUACCGCACGACCAUCAGCGAUCUUGAUAAUCGAUACAACAGUUUGUUUCGCUCGAAGCUCCUAACAUCCCUCAUCACGGACGUAUGGUCUUUGCUGUCUGCCUAUUCUGAAUAGCCACGCCCUUCGGGAAAAACGAAAGUUAAUGGGCGACUUGUCCGCCUCUUUUUUUUCCUCGAGUGUGGGGAAAUGAACGAGAUGCCCCAUUCAAUCAACAUCCAACACGCGCGUGCCGGUGCGGGACGGCUCUCAAUGUGAUCGAACGUAUGGGUGUGUUUAGCUCCCCGCCACUUUCCAUUCCAAUCGAUCAAUAUCCAAAUGAUUGCUAAUCACUUAAAGUAAAAAUUGUGGCUUUUUAUUUCUAAUUGUCUCUGAUGCUGCACAUCAUUUUCUGAAUUCCGGCGGAGCGCAUUCGGAAUAAAACGCUAAAAUAAGUUCAUCGACAGUGAGACACGAAAUGCGCUCAAAUCUAUUGAUGUAAAAAGCGCAUUUGAAUCGGCGUGGGUGUCGAAGAGAUCAAACAGCGCAAAACUUUUCUCCGAGAAAGAGGGCAGCACCAGUCGGCAGAAAAUGAACGCAGCCGCUAGUAACUUUUAGUUUUGGGAAAUGAACGACAGUGUUACACAUUAGCACGCAGAUGGCGCACCAUUUCUAAUGGGUUUCCGGAUGGAACUAUAGAAAUCUCAGCCCUUGUCAUGGCCACAACGACGGAAACAACAAAAACAAAAUUCAUACCCCACAAUGCGGAUUGGCUUCCGGUUUCACGUUGCGGUGGAUGGAUGACCGGAAGUGAUCGCCUCUUCGGUUGGCGAAUAGUCGGCAAAAGGCCAAUCGUCUAGUGCGCAAGAUGUCAUCAAGUUGCCGCCCAUGUUGAUGCUGAUGUGUCCGCUGUCGGCCGUUUCGGACGGCCUGGUCUUGUUGCCUCCUCCUACCAAUGCGUCAUUCAUCCGUCUUCGGUUACUGCUGCGCUGGGCUACGACGGGCGAAAAGGGUUCGGAGCCACUCUCGGAUGCAGUGGCGCCGCCUCCUUCACCACCAAUCAACUUCUCCAUCUCUGUGUCCUGGUCGGAUAGAGCUCCAGCUGAUGUUGAACCCACAGAAGUUGAACCUCCACCACCUCCACCCCCUCCACUCACUUCUCCGGAUCGCUUCAAAAUGGAUUUUUUGCGAUCGGGACUUGCGCGUCCUCGAUUAUCUUUAAAGAAAAACAACAACACAGAAAUGAAUUAAAUUGCGGAAUGCAAAUCAAUGAAACAUUGUCGUAAGGAGGUUUUUCUUAAAAAUUACCUGCGCUUUGGAGACUGUGGAAUCGAUAGUUGAGGAAACGAGUGGCGGAAGCGAUACCUUUGCCCGUCAGGAAGGAAGGCUUGCCACUGCUGGAUGGACUUGAUUUCUGACGGAAUUUUUUGUUGACCGAACCGACAAUUCCGCCUCCCUUCAAACCGAAUCCUCCGCUGCUGGCCUCUUUGUUCUUGGAAGAACUAGUGGUGACGACGGUGGUGGGGCGUUCUUCAUCGUCCGAGCUGAAAGCUUCUUUGAAUCUCGGCCGCGGUUUGUUGCUGGCCGUUUGAAUUUUUCGAUUGGCCGCUUGGGCUUUGACGGGCGAAUCAUCGUCGUCUGCUUGUUCGUUAAUCGAUUGAUAAAGUAGCCUGGAAGUCUCGUCUACCGUGACGUAAUGUUGCUGUUUGUUCUCGUUCUCCAAAGGUUUCACGUACAAAUCGGAAGCAUCUCUUUCUGCUGGACCUGUCCCGCUCUGCGGUGACCAGCCGGCCAAAUCGGUGAUACUCGGGAAGGGAUUACAGCUGGCCCAGGUGUCCGAACUGUCGAAACUGGCCAAAUCGGUAGGUCUUGUCCGUCUCUGUGACCUGGCAGGUGACGAUUUGUUGCUAGCGGACAAAUGGAUGGAGCUGGGAGCCGUGGGACACGACGACGGAUUGCGUCCCAUUGGCUGCAUUUCGAUGAGCGUCGUUGCCGGCCCAGGCGUCAUCAUAUUGAUCACAGCAGCAGCCGAGGAAGAAGAAGAAGAAGAAUAGGGCUGGAGCUUUUUCAAUCCCGGUAGCGACUCUACAAACUCAUUCAAAUCCUACGAGAAAUCCAAUAAUGAAAAACCAAAAAAACAAAAACAAGAAAACAAAACAUAAAAACCGAAUGAAAAAAAAUAGAAAAAGAAAACAGAAUCAAAGAUAUCGAACCGUAUAUAUACGCGAACCUCGAAGAUAAAAAACAACUCAAUCAAAAUGAUGUAUAUCGAAAAUCAUGAAUAAAUAGAUGCCAAUUUA